UACGUAGGUGGCAAGCGUUGUCCGGAAUUACUGGGUGUAAAGGGAGCGCAGGCGGGAAGCCAAGUCAGCUGUGAAAACUACGGGCUAAACUUGUAGACUGCAGUUGAAACUGGUUUUCUUGAGUGAAGUAGAGGUUGGCGGAAUUCCGAGUGUAGCGGUGAAAUGCGUAGAUAUUCGGAGGAACACCGGUGGCGAAGGCGGCCAACUGGGCUUUAACUGACGCUGAGGCUCGAAAGUGUGGGGAGCAAACAGG
rnacentral:rRNA from 1 species